AAGCCUUAAAAAAUGGGAAAAUGAAAGUGAAAAAAAUUCAAACAUUAAAGUGUCCACAUAUUUAUGUUAUUUAUACUUUGUUUUAUCAUUGUUCCCUUGAGGAAUAUUAUAAAAGUUGAAGCAUAUAAGCUUAUUGAUUAAUAUAAUCACCCAAUAUCAUUAAGAAAUUAAUUCCCUUUUCUCCAAUUUGAUCUUCUUUCCCCUCUCUUUUGAAGCCAUGAAUCACAAAACCCUCUCUUUGUUUUUCUUAAAUAGUUUUGUCAUAAUUCUCUUUCUAUCCUCAAUAGCCUUUGGGAGAUUGCAAGGUGUAUAUUACUAUUUUACUAUAACUUUUUUAUAUUUUCAUAUUUGCUAAAUUUGUAGGAUUACUUUUAUAGUUUCUUGUUCUUCGACUUCUAAUGUUAUCUAGUGUUUUCUAUAGUUUAGUGCAGUGUUAUUAUGUUGUAAUAGUGUUUUGCGACUAUCUGUUGUCUUCGUUUAUUGUCUAUAUUUCUUUUAGUUCUAUUAAGUCUUUUUUUCUGGUCAUUUUUGAUCUUGAGCCGGAUUUCUAUUCGGAAACAUCCCCUUUCUCACUUUGAAGUAAAAGUACGGUUUGCAUACAUUCUACUUUCUUCAGAUCUCAUUAUCUAGGAAUACACUAGAUAUGUUGUCGCUGCUGUCCAUAAUAUGAUUAUAUUAUAUAGUACUAGACAUCAUUCUUUUCUCAUCCUCUAACCGUUGAUAAGGGGUAACCGAUCGAUUCUUGAACACAUUUCUUGAUAUGUAUAUGAAUAGAUAGAUAACAAGUGUGUGUUUAUAAAUUAAAUCCUUUUUGAACUAGGUCAUCGAGGUGAUGACUAUAACAUUGGAGAAGGAUUUCAUGUGAUGAGUAAAGGAACUUAUCCUUCCCGUAUUUACGCACCCCCUUCAAUAUCACCACCCGGUAAGUUUUUGUAUAAAAUAUGUUAUUUCAUCGAUCUCAAUUUACUCUAUUUGAGAUACACAAUCCAUUAAAUUUUGAUCGGAUUGAAAGGAUUACACAUUUUAAAUUGCAAAGAACACAAAUACACAAUAUGAUAAGAUGGUAAUCUUUGUCCGAUUUGAGACACACAACUAACCUUUUUGGUCAAACUUUUAGAGUUUAGCUUAUUUUGAAAAAAAAAAAAAAUCUCACAAAAGAAAUUUUGAGAAAAAAAAAAUAUUUUUGGUGAGGAACAGUUUGAUUUAGCUAUAGGGGCGGCUCAACAAAUAUCGGAAUCUAAAGCAAAGCUUCAACGAAAGGUCUCAAAAUUUUAUUAAUAAAAUAAAAUUAUAUAUUGUAUAGAAUAUCAUUUGAAGUCUAUUUUUUUAGUUUUUCAUAUACAAAAUUUUAAAUACUUUCUCUAUCCCAUAAUAAUUACAAUUUAAAAUACUUCUAGAAAAAAAAAAUGAAAAAUUCAUAUAAAAAUUAACUCAUUUAAUCCUUAAGAUCUAAAUGUCACACAUAAUUAAGACAUAUUGAGUACUUUCUCCGUUCUUAGAUAAGUAGUUGUUGUAGCUGUUUCAUUUUAUUUCAUAAGUGAUAUUUUGAAAUUUCAAAAAGGAAUUAUCUUAUGUUUCCUGAAUUAUUCUUAUUUUUAUACAUGAUACAUCAUUAAAGAAUUAUUUUUUUUAUUUAAGACAUUUAAUUAGGAUUAACUUAGUUAAAACACUUUUUUUUUUAAAAAAUAAAUAAUUUUGAAAAGUAAACUUAAACUAAAAACACCACUUAUAUAAACAAUAAAAAAAAAAAAUAAUAUAUAUACAUGUUAAGAAAUUGAGGCCCUCAAAUUUUUAGCGCCUACAGCCUUAGAAGCUUUAUGCUUCAGCCGGCUUUGUUUGGAUAGUCAGUUUGAAAAAUAUCUUUUUAAUAGCAAUUAAUAUUUGAUCAAAUUUUCACAAAAUAUUUCUAAGUAUAUUUUCUCAAAAAUAUUAUUCAAAGAAAUACAUUAAAGAGAAUCUACUUUUUUGAGCUUCUCGAAAUUUCUUCACCUUCUACUAAAAACACACCUUUGUUGUUGUAAGUAAAUUAUUUUAUUUAUCAGAGUGAAUAUAUACCCCACAAAAAAAAAAACAUAAAACCGAAGUAUUGAUUUGCUAGCUGAAAUCAAGUUCAUAUAUCUGGAUGUAUUACUCCCUCCAUUUAAAAAAGAAUGAUGUACUUUUUUUUUUUAGUCUAUUUAAAAAAGAAUGACACAUUUUUUUUUUUGACAAUUCUUUAAUUUUAACUUUCAACAUGACAUGUUUUGGACCACAAGAUUAAAGGACAUUUUGGUACAUUUGACAUAACUUUAAUUUAAGACCAUAAGAUUCAAAAGUUUUCUUUAUUUUCUUAAACUUGUGUCAAAUCAAAAUAGGUCAUUCUUUUUGAAAUGGAGGGAGUAUAUAUACUUAAAACAUAUUUACACUAACAAUUUGUAUAACUUAUAUUUUUUCCAAGAUUAUAUUAAAGAUCCAUUAUUUACACCCUUUCUUAUUUACAUGUUUGCAGCUGAUGGAUCUUGAGUGAGUAGCAAAAUAUCUAUUGAGCAAGAAAGUUGUUGAACCUUCACAUCUUAAGAAUUUUAUAUAAUAUUUGUACUUAUUUACAAAUGUUGUUUGAACUAUUGUAUUUUAAUUUGAACGGAAUUAUCUGAUAUUUAUUGCUGGUGAGCGGUAAUCGAUAUCCCGUGAAUUUAAUCGAGAUGCGCACAAAACUAGCCCUGACCUAUUAAAAAGACAAUUGUAUUUAGCACUUUUAGUCCUUCAAUAAUUAAGCUAGUAAUAAGGAAUACUUAUGUUAAUUAAAGGAAAUUAGCACUUUUAGUCCUUCAAUAAUUAGUAAAUUUUGAUUUAGUACCUUGUGAUUUCUGGUAUAAGCAUGUUUAACCUUCAAUUCAAUGGUAUUGCACACUUUUGAUCCCUC
rnacentral:lncRNA from 1 species